rnacentral:lncRNA from 1 species
GAUCACUGGUUAAGAGAGGAGCAGCUUCAUCCAGUGCAUCACAUUCUUUGGUAGUAUAUGAUCAGUCUCUAACAUAAAUAAAAGAGGUUGUAGUGCAAUGGUGGGACUGUUAUACCCUUAAUCAGCGGUCUUGGAUUUGAGUUCUGGAUAUGGAGAAAAUUUUGUUGGGAGCGCUACCUCCUUAAUAAGCCCUGCAACGCACGAUCCGAAUUAGUCGGACUUCAAUGCGAAUACCGGAUGAAAAAAUAAUGUGAUUUUCUUGAAGAGGUUUUACCACAUGAAAAUGCCCUAUAAUCUUAAGGGAAUCUUUCAAAAAUAACAGCAUUUUGUUAUAA